AGCAACAAUGACGAGUAUACAGACCUGUAAUGAUUUGCGAAUAUGAUCGCAACUCUAAGAACAUCUAAGGGACUGAGUUGUU
rfam:Nelumbo nucifera unplaced genomic scaffold scaffold00012, whole genome shotgun sequence